rnacentral:rRNA from 1 species
GGGGAAUAUUGCGCAAUGGGGGAAACCCUGACGCAGCAAUACCGCGUGAGUGAAGAAGGUUUUCGGAUCGUAAACUUCUUUUAAGGGGGAAGAGUAGAAGACGGUACCCCUUGAAUAAGUCCCGGCUAACUACGUGCCAGCAGCCGCGGUAAUACGUAGGGGACAAGCGUUGUCCGGAUUUACUGGGCGUAAAGGGCACGCAGGCGGUUUUUUAAGUCAGAUGUGAAAGGUACCGGCUCAACCGGUGACAUGCAUUUGAAACUGAAAGACUUGAGUAUUGGAGAGGCAAGUGGAAUUCCUAGUGUAGCGGUGAAAUGCGUAGAUAUUAGGAGGAACACCGGUGGCGAAGGCGGCUUGCUGGACAAAUACUGACGCUGAGGUGCGAAAGCGUGGGGAGCAAACA